rnacentral:rRNA from 1 species
AUGGACAUGGUUAUCGUCCCCAUCCUUCUCCUGCUGCUCCUGCCCUUCGUUGGUGCCCAAUGGUUAGUGUGCGGUGACAGCGGCAACUAUGCAUCAAACAGCACCUACCAAGCCAACCUCAUGCUCCUUUCGUCCACCCUCCCCAACAAGGCUGUGUCCAACACCAGCCUCUUCGCCACCGCCACCGUGGGCCAUGCUCCGGAUAUCAUCUACGCCCUUACGCUCUGCCACGGGGACAUCACCGACGCCUCCGACUGCGAGAGCUGCGUGGCUGCCGCCUUCAAAGAUGCGCAGCUGAGCUGCCCGUACAAUAAGGAAGCCAGCACGUACUACGAUUACUGCAUGCUCAGGUUCUCCAACCAUAAUUUUCUCCUUGCCAACAGUACCGAAGAUCAGAUGAAGUGGAUCAACCUCGGGAACACCCUGAACUUCACGACAGGUGUCGACUCCAUCACGCACUUGCUGUUCAUGCUUCUGAACAGCACGGCCCAAGCGGCUGCAAACAGCUCGAGGAGGUUCACCACCUCACGCUUAGGCGUCAACAGCGUCCCAACGAUGUACUGCUUUAUGCAGUGCACGCCCGACCUCACGCCCGACGACUGCGCGGCUUGCUUACAGCUUGUUUUGAAGCAUACGCUCAAGUUCCUAGAUGGAGCGCAAGGUGGUCGAAUUCUUGGGAGAUGGUGUAGCAUGAGGUACGAGCUAUACCACUUCUACGAAGGGGUCCCCAUGCUUGCAAUUCCGGCGGUCAAUGGCACUACGCCAGCGCCCACGCCUGCUACCAGGUACCCACAUUCCCAGUCACAUCCACCAGCUGCUGCGCCUCUCCCGGAGGCGCAGGCAACCGUUCAAGAACAACAGGGAAAAGUAAACUUAAACGACCAGCUGGCUGCCACAAAUAGACCGGAAGAAGACGAACUGGUCUGGAGGUUGGAGGAGAAGAGUUCAGAGUUCACUCUCUUUGACUUUUCUGAGAUAUUGCAUGCUACACAUAACUUCUCCAAAGAAAAUCUACUUGGACAAGGUGGUUUUGGCCCUGUCUACAAGGGCCAAUUAGCGGAUGGAAUGCAAAUUGCAGUCAAAAGGCUUGCCUCGCAUUCAGGACAAGGUUUUACAGAAUUCAAAAAUGAAGUAGAACUUAUUGCAAAAUUACAACACAAUAAUCUUGUCAAGCUCUUGGGAUACUGCAUUCAGGGAGAGGAAAAACUAUUGGUGUACGAGUAUUUGCCAAAUAAGAGCUUGGACUUCUUUAUAUUUGAAAGAAACAGGACAACUUUUAUUGAUUGGAACAAUAGACGUGCGAUAAUUGAAGGGAUAGCCAAAGGUCUUCUGUAUCUCCACAAGCACUCUCGGUUACGCAUCAUACACCGAGACCUUAAGGCCAGCAACAUUCUCUUGGACCAGGACAUGAAUCCUAAAAUUUCUGAUUUUGGCCUAGCAAAAUAUUCAGCUCCAAUGAUACUCAGGGAAGCACAAAGAGGUGGUUAUAUGUCUCCGGAGUAUGCAUCUGAAGGCAUUUACUCAAUCAAAUCAGAUGUGUUCAGCUUUGCUGUGUUACUUCUUGAGAUCCUUAGCGGAAAAAGGAAUUCGGGUUUCUAUCAGUACGGAGACUUUCUUAACCUUCUUGGAUAUUCAUGGCAACUAUGGGAAGGAGGAACAUGGGCUAAGCUUAUAGAUGCAUCAAUUGCAAAGGAGAUCUGUACAUCAGAUGCUAGGAGGUACAUUAACAUUGCAUUGAUGUGUGUACAAGAGAGUGCAGAUGAUCGACCCACCAUGUCAGAUGUUGUUGCAAUGUUAAACAGCGAGAGUGUUAUUCUUCCAGAACCAAAUCAUCCAGGAUACUUCAACCUAAGGGUAUCUAAGACACAUGAAUUUCUUUUCCAUGUAGUAACAAUGAUGUAA